CGCUGGCGGGCGGCCAUUCCCCAGAAGUAUCUGCACCCUGGCUCUGUCUUGACAGAAGCUUUAGUCCUUGAACACCAGAAUCCUGUGCAGUUUCCUUUGGGCAUUUGAUAUUUUUCAGCAAGAUUUUGGUUGCUACUACACCUCUGAUUAAAUGGCACUCUUGCCCCUGGACUUCGGGGCUGACCUAAAGGAAGGUGUUUCCAGGCUGUAAAAAUAAAUCUACUUGAAGAAAGAGGAGGGAAUAAACAUCCAUGGAUGACUCCUCAGAAGUGGGAGGUGCAGAGUGAUGGUGAAGUGAAGAAGGCAGAAAGGUGCUUCUCUAAGAAACUGACAGCAGAGCUGAAGUGGGAGGAAACCAUCUAAAUGUGGAAAAAUUCUAAGUUUUGUUUUGAUGAUUUAUCAGAACACUUCUGUUUGUCUUUAGCAGCAUACAUGUACAUUGUUAAAACUAUGUUGCUUCUGCAUUAAA